rnacentral:rRNA from 1 species
UACGGGGGGGGCAAGCGUUGUUCGGAAUUACUGGGCGUAAAGGGUUCGUAGGUGGCCAACUAAGUCAGACGUGAAAUCCCUCAGCUUAACUGGGGAACUGCGUCUGAGACUGGAUGGCUUGAGUGCAGGAGAGGAACGCGGAAUUCCAGGUGUAGCGGUGAAAUGCGUAGAUAUCUGGAGGAACACCGGUGGCGAAGGCGGCAUCCUGGACCAACACUGACGCUGAGGAGCGAAAGCCAGGGGAGCAAACGGG